GUGUUCAUUUCGGCAGCACAUACACUAAAAUUGGAAUGAUAUAGAGAAUAUUAGGAUGGCCUCUGUGCAAGGAUGACACGCAAAUUUGUGAAUAUUUUUU
rnacentral:snRNA from 1 species